rnacentral:rRNA from 1 species
UACGUAGGGCGCAAGCGUUGUCCGGAAUUAUUGGGCGUAAAGAGCUCGUAGGCGGUUUUUCGCGUCUGCUGUGAAAACCUAAGGCUCAACCUUGGGCUUGCAGUGGGUACGGGCAGACUAGAGUGCGGUAGGGGUGACUGGAAUUCCUGGUGUAGCGGUGGAAUGCGCAGAUAUCAAGAGGAACACCGAUGGCGAAGGCAGGUCACUGGGCCGCAACUGACGCUGAGGAGCGAAAGCAUGGGGAGCGAACAGG